CACACACACACACACACACACACACAGAGUUUCCCCUAUUGUGAAUAUCCCUCAAGAGCAGUGAAGUUCUUAUGGUGAAUGAAUAUCCACAGAUGCACCAGGAUCACGCAAAGUCCACAGUUCACAUCAAGGUUCACCUGAGUGUCACACAUUCCACGAGUGUGGCCAAACGUCAUGCAGAAGUUUCACUACUGUGAACAUCUAUUGUUUGUCUCGCCCUCCCCGGCCACCACCAACCUUUUUAUUAUUACGGUUUUGCCUUUCCCAGGGAAUCACAUAGUUGGGAUGAUAGCUAAUUGAUACUUAUUUAUUAUUUAUCGAAGGGUUCUUUAUAGAUGCCAAACACAUCACUUUGUGUAAGCAUUCUACUGUUGGGUCCAGGGUGGAAGCCAAGAAAAUAUACUUCAGAUGUGGAAGCUUAAAAAUGAAAGCUUUAUUUUCUGAGUGCUCAGGAAGGUGGCCAGUUCAGGAUCUGAACCGUAACCCUGAAGGGAGAUUGUACAACAUUUUUAAAGGAUGGGAACACAAAGCAAGGGGGAGCUAGGAGCGAUGCAGUGUUAGUUUGUGUCUUGCAAUUGUAUUUUGACAUUAUGGGUUAAGCAAGGGAGUACCCAUGGAGACUGGGCCAUAUCCAGGGUACCUGGCUUCAAGGUCCUUAAUUCAUUCUCCUAGACAUUGGGUCUGGAGCUCAGAGAGAUGUGUGGAGAAAGGAGUAGGUCAGCCUCGUGCAGUUAAUUAGGGCAUAACAGGCAAUUGAUUAUAUGUUUUUACAACAUAGGCACCUUGAUUUAGAUAACAGCAAUUUCUGUAUUCUUUACCAGUUAACAGAGCAUUAAGAAAACAUUUGGAGAAGUGGGAUAGGUGUUCAUUCCUAGGCCUGGGAACGUGAACUUGUUUGACCCUGUCAGCAGAUGAAGAAGUUGUCCUUGAGAAACAGGUCAACUAUAGGGAAGUCCCCAAGUCCUCUAGGGCCUGGGAUCUUGAACUCAGUUUUUAAAAAUGAAAUGGUAGUACUUAGAGUAAGUUUCUUUUUCUUGUUCCCUAUUGCACAGUAAACUAUGAAGUGCAUGGGCCAUAUGCUAGAGUUAGUCAGAAGGACCAAGUAACUUAUCUUCUUUGACCAGAUGGAACCAGGAAUAUUUCCCUUAGCCAGUGAGACAACAGAACUUUCUGGGCCAAAGAAUCAUAGUGAAUGUGUUACCCAGGGCUUGUUCAGAAGUGACUGACAAGGCUAGGAUUAGAGAAAGAAUACUCACCUUGCUUUGCUUCAGAAAAUCAGGAAGGAAUUUGACCUUGUGGUUAACCUGUAAAUGUUGGCAACAAGUUAACAUUUUAUUACUGCCAAGAGGAUUUUGCAUGUCUUUAUUUUCCUUAGUUCUGGGGAUUGGGUGUGGAUCGGUUAGGAGUCUGCACCCGCCCAUAGACUGCUGCCAUCUAGUGUUUGCUUCUCAGAAUUGCAGGCUCGGCCUGGAGAGAACCUAUGGGUACUAGAGGCAGUCCAAACAACUGGCACCUCUUAUGGUUCCCCUCUUCAGCCUGAGAAAAAAAGUCUAUUUUAAAGUUUCGUUUUUGAUUGACACAUCUGCUUCUGUUGCUUUUGAAAUAUGAAAUUGUUGUUAGCUUCCGUCAUCACGCUGUGCGGCAGAGCAUGGAGCUUAGGUCUCUUCUCACAUUUAACAUUAUAAAAGUGGUUGGGUGUGGGAAGGUAAAGGCUCCCAUAUUUGGGCAACUUCUUUAAGGUGUGUAAGUCGGUGCUACCUGCCUAGCUUUAUCUGCAGAGGGAACUUUAAAGCAGGUCUGGGGAAGCACGUCUUUAAGGAAAUGAUUGUUCGGCCCGAGAGUCUCUCCAUCAUUGAAGGCCUUUUCUGCCCCUCACUCACCUCACGCACAUGCUAGACUGUGUGGUUGGUUCUGUCUACCCUGGUAAACAAAAACGUCAAUGAAUUGAUGUCUUAGAUGUUUUUGAAUACUUUGAAAUCUCAAAGCUCACCCCCAAAGGCUCACUUCAUCCAACAAAGCCCUGCCUCCUCUUCCCAACAGCCCGCCAACUGGAAUAGUCAAACAUAUGAGCCUAUGGGGGGCCAUUCCACCACAUUCUACUCCCUGGUCCCCCACAAACUUGUGGGAUCGUAAUGCAAAAUGCAUCUAGUCUAACUGCAAAAGCCCUGGUAGUCUUUCAGUUUCAACACUGUUUAAAAGUCUAAAGUCUUCUGCUGAGACUCAAGGCAAUCUCUUAAACUGUAACCAUGUAUG
rnacentral:lncRNA from 1 species